AAGCAACAGAAGACAAGCAAGAGAAGCAACAGUCUCUUCUCUUCUCUUCUCUUCCUUUUCCUCUCCCGUCCCUUCCCCCUCAGUAAACUGUCAGCCAGACGUGCUGUUGAGUAGUAUAACCCCCUAUUUAUAACAGGGGAGGGACCACCCCCCUCCCCGUCCCUCCAGGUACCGACUGGGAUUCGAACCAGCGCUUUCACCACUUGCGAUGUUUUUUCUCGGAGUUUACACUCUUCCUUUUGGACGUAGACCUCAAAACGAACUGCACCUCGUAAGAUUCGAACCCACGACUUCAGCGCUUACUUUCAGGCGGCGCUCUACCAAACUGAGCUAAAGGUCAACACAGAUAAUCACCUCUAGUUUCCACUCCACACCCCGUUUAGAUUUAAGGGAUUGAACUCAGACCUCAGUCCUUCCAUGACCUCUGAGCUUUUGGGCAGUCCUUUAACAUUCUAUGAGCUAUUGGCUCUUUGAGGUUUAGAGGGUGUUUGUUGGACGUUGCACAGUGAAGCUGUGUCAAUUAAAACUGAACAUUUUCUUGGUAAAGGCAGAAUUUAUAGUGGCAGGUGAGUGUAAAUUGUCAUGUAACUUGUAAUAUACGUGAUAAUUUUCUGUUUUGGUACCAGUCAAAGUAUAUUUAGUCACAGACGACCCUUUAACUUUUUACACCAUGUACCGGUUUGACAUCCAUCAUGACGGACGUCACAGUACAGUCCACUCUGUUUUUGUCCUGCUGCUGCAGCAGCACCAGUUUGUCAGCCGGCAGGUGAGCGAUGGUCGCCCGCUGGUUGGGAGGCCGCUGCUUUACAACAGCAGGAGAUGAAAAGAUCGUACAGUGUAUGCGCAGGUUCAUAACUUCCUGAAUCAUGCAAUACUGUUACAACAAUUCUUUUCUUGAAUAUUUCAUUUCUGGUGUCGCAGGGUGAGAAGACACACCUGAAGAAUCCCUGCGUGACCUGACCUCCCCCGUUGUGCCAUCAGAUGGUCAUCGUUGUGAAAUGUAGCCACCAAUCCCCUCGCCACCGAGACCUCUUCUCCCUGCGCUCAUGUAGUUGAAUCAACAGAGGAAGCGGGACGUCUUCCACGGUGUCCGGCUUGUUUCUAUACCACCCCAGAACGACAGGAUCCGGCGAGGUGUUUCUGUUUGUUUGAGUCUGGGUCGUCUGUUUAGGCUCCGGUGGUCCACGCUGCAGAGGUGUCAGGAAAAAAACGUUCCGCCGUGCAGGGGCAGAAGUUGAGCCAGAUCUAACUUUUGGAAAAACGAAGCCCGACAUCACGCUCCGGCCGCCAAUCAGACACUGACGAGAGCUGAUCCCAACGUUUCUAUGAAGUGAUGGACGUCGCUGAAGGAGUUGUAGAGCGGCACCGGAGCAACUCGCAGCACACUGGGCUCCCUCAUGUCACACUGAACGAC